rnacentral:rRNA from 1 species
UGCGUAGGUGGUGAGGUAAGUCGGAUGUGAAAGCUCGGAGCUCAACUCCGAAAUGGCAUUGGAAACUACCUCGCUCGAGGGUUGGAGGGGGGACUGGAAUACUUGGUGUAGCAGUGAAAUGCGUAGAUAUCAAGUGGAACACCAGUGGCGAAGGCGAGUCCCUGGACAACUCCUGACACUGAGGCACGAAAGCUAGGGGAGCAAACA